rnacentral:lncRNA from 1 species
CCAAAAUCUGGGGUGUAAGUAUACAUUCAUAAUUUAUCAAAGUCUAACAACUAAAUGGAAGAAAAGACAUAUUUAUAGUCUAGGGUUAAUUAUUACAUCAUAUGGGCCAAAAAAUUAUCCAUUUGGGAAAGACAAAGCAUAGAAGCCCAUUAAGAAUUCCCUUAGGCAAUCCAAGCACACAUGGGAUGCAUCUUCAAGUCAUGUGAGUUAUUUUUGACCCACUCUAGCAGAUCUAGAGUCGGUUGGGCACACCUACAAAGCAGAUGGGGUGCAUUCUCCUUUCGGGGGCUUUCUAGCCUCAUUUUGCCUUUCUUUGGCCUCUUUAAUAUCUCUCGUUCCUCCUCAAUCAUCAUAAUAAUUCAAUUAGCACCUUUUGGAUAGAACCAAUGAGCCUUCAAGUGCCUCUUGAACUAUAAGCCUCUUCUCUAAUAAUCUGGAGGCCAUUUGGAUUGUAUUACAAUACAAGUUAUGGCAUGGAUUUUAUUUCCUGAUCUUUUACCUACUUUUUUUGUGAUGAAUCACUUUUUUCAUUAGAAGAAACUAUGGGAAAAACCAUCCAUCUUGAUAUGUCCACUAUUAACAAGGCCCGACCUAGUUGUGCGAGGGUGAAAGUCCAAAUUGAUUUAGCAACUAAGUUACCUGAUAAAGUGGAGAUAGAAGUGAAUAAAACAAAAGAAGCAAGGAUUCAAUCAGUCAAAACUCGAUAUGAUAUGCUUCCUAAAUAUUGUUUCAAGUGUAAAGUUCAAUGUCAUGAGAAGGUGGAGUAUAGAAUUUUACAUUCAGAAUUGAAAAAUUAUGUGCAAAAAAGACAUAAAUAGGAAGUUAGUUUUUGCUAAAUGGAAUCCUACAAGUCAAAAAUUUCAAAUUGAAAAAGGAACCAACAAAUUUCUAGAUAAUGUUGUAGACAUGAAAAAUGAGGAAAAGGUGUUACAGGCCAAUAAAACAAUCAGUACUAAGAACUCAUUUGGCAUCCUUCAACAACAAGAUGAAGGCAGUUAACUUACUCAAGCUACGGGAACAAUGACCUCAAUGGUGGAGGGAAAGGAAAAUAUGAAGAAGAAGAAAAAUAAUGUAAAAGAAAAGCUGAGUAACAUGCAAAAUAUAGAUCAACAUAAAUCUGUUUAGUAGAAAUAAAAUAGGAAAAAUAUAUAUUCCAUGAGUUAAUAUGGAUAAUCAGGUGGAGGGAUGUAUUACAACUGACAAGGACAACAUCAAUGAGACUAGCAACAAUAGUUGUUCAAUGGGAACUGCAGAACCUAUUCAUGAUAAAUAUAUGAUAUUAAAUGUAGUGGAUCACAAAGAUACUCAACAACUUACAUGUACCAACAAAAAUCUAAGGAAAAGAGGCAGAAGUAUAUUGCUAGAACAGGGGAAUGUAGGUGUAAAUCAAAAUAAAUUACAUAGUAGUGGAAAAUACAUAGAAGACAUUCAUAGAAACAAAGAAAGUCCACAAAUGCAAAAAAAAAAACAUGUUGAUUAUUGAUAGUCACAGUGCAAGAGGAGGUGAUAUUGUGAAUAAUGAUAUACCUGAUGACAUACAUUCAAAUAGGGUUCAAUUAGCCCUUGCUCAAGCUACAUAAAAUGAGGCACUUUAGGUGGAUGAAUCAGGUGUUAGAGGUGAUGAGGGAUUUCUUCCAAAUAGCAUAGAAGGGGAGGCAAGUAAUCUGGCAUUAGCAGCAUUGAAAAAAUCAAACAACAAAAAAUUACAUAAUUUGGUUUCCCACCAAAUAACAAAAGAGGUAAAUCAUGAAAGUACAGAUACAGAUGACAUAUGGAUAAAAGAUACAGAAGAAGGAAAUAAUCAAAAAAAACUAAACCAAGUAAUGAAAGAAGCAGGUUUAUCACCACGUGCAAAUAACAAAGGUAAAAAGAGUAGGAUCAAAGUUGAAAAGCCUACAAGGACCAGUUCUAGGAGGGGUGGUAAAGCCAGCAUUCAAUGAAUUUAAAAGCACUUUUCUGGAACAUCAGAUUAGUUAGGUCACAACAUGUUUUCCACAUAGUACAAAUGUUACAUAGGCAUCAUAUUACUUUUAUUGCUUUGAUGGAGUCUUUUCAAGAUAUCAGACACAUAUAGAGGUAUAAAAGAAUAUUGGGCAUGAAAUAUACAAAUUAUAAUAUGAAUGUAAAGAUAUGGAUUUUUGUUUAAAAAAAUAUACAGGUGGAGACAUUAGCAUAUUCUGAUCAGCAAAUCACAUUUUAGCUAGUUGUUCAGAAUGAUCAAUAGGUGAUUAUUAUAGCUGUUUAUGCUAAAUGUGAUGUAAGUGAAAGAAUUGCUUUAUGGGAUCUAUUUACUCAUUGAGUCAUAAUGUUAGAGUAUCUUGGAUGGUAAGGGGACUUUAAUGUUAUCAUGAAUGAAGAAGAGAAAAUUGGAGGAUUACCAAUGUAUCCUAAUGUAUAUGAACAUUUUGCUUUCUACAUCAACCCCUGUGAUCUAUUUGAUAUUAAUUUAAAAGGGAGUCCAUUCACUUAGUGGAAUGGUAGGGCAGAUGAUCCAUGUAUUUUUAAGAGAUUAGACAUAAUCGUUAUUAACUAAGAGUUUUUGGGCAUUAUGGGGCGUAUUGAGGUUGAACAUCUAUCCAGGACACGAUCAGAUCAUGCUCCUUUGUUAUUCUCUUGUAGUGAUGAAAAUGUUCAGUUUCACAAGCCUUUUAGGUUUUUGAAAUUUUGGACUGAGAAAGAGGACUUCAAAGAAAUGGUAAGAUAGAAUUAGGUAUCAAAAAAAUGUAGGCAUAUCUUUAUCAAUUUAAAGCAAAAAAUGAAGAAAACCAAAAUGGCUCUAGCUUUAUGGAGCAGAUUCAUGUUUGGAGAUAUAUUUAAAUAAUUAGUCAUCAAGAAAUACAUAGUAAGAAUCAAAAAUGAUUUGUUUGAAGAAAGUCCUACUACUACUAACAAAAUAAUUUUUCAGAAGGCACAGGCUGAGUUGAGGUAGUGUUUACAUUAUGAAGAAGAGUAUUGGAGAUAAAAAUCUGGUAUUCAAUGAUUUUCAGAAGAGAAGGAAAUAUGAAAUUCUUUCUGGUGAAUGCUAGAAGGAAAAAGCUAGAAAUAACUAGAAUUUAGAGAGUUGAUGGUUCUUGGGUUGAAGAUAAUAAUUAGGUAGCUGUAGAAAUAAUUGAUUUCUACCAGAAAUAAUUCACUGGAUCAGUUGAGUCUGGUGCAUAUUCUUUUAUUAAUUUGAUUUCUACCCUAAUCACAAAAUAAGAGAAUAAUUUGUUGAAGGUUUGUCCUGACACUGAAGAAGUUAAAAAGGUAGUUUCUAAACUGAAUGGGGAUAACGCUUGUGAGCCAGAUGGUUUCACUGGACAUUUUCAUCAGUUUUGAUGGGACAUUGUUAGUGGUAAUAUUGUGAAGGUAGUUCAUGUAUUUUUUAUGUAAUGACACUGCCUAAAUCUAUCACUCAUACUAAUUUGGUUCUAUUGCCAAAUAAAGAGAAGGUCAAGAGAGAAGGUCUUGACCUUCUUUGACUUAAGACCUAUUAGUUUGAGUAAUUUUCCAAACAAAAUCAUAUUUAGAAUUCUUCAUGAUAAAUUAUAAGGUUUCUUACCUAGGCUCUCUCAAAAUCAAUCUGAUUUUGUUAAGGGAAAAAUUAUCACAGAUAAUGUAUUAUUGGCCAAGAAAAUUAUAUGCGAUAUUAAAAAAGGGAGUAAGGCUGCAAAUAUGGUAAUUAAGCUUGAUAUGACCAAAGUCUACGAUAGAGUGGAGUGAAAUUUUUUUAUGGAAAUGUUGGAGAAAAUGGGCUUCUCAAAUGUCUUUACUGAUAUGAUAUGGAGACUAGUAGCCAAAAAUUGGUACUCUAUCCUAAUAAAUAGGGAAGUUCAUGUCUUCUUCCAUUCUUCUAGAAGAGUAACGCAAUGGGGUCCUUUAUCCCCUUCUUUAUUUAUUAUUAUUGCUGAAGUUAUAACAGGGCACUUAAUAAUUUAUUCUCAUAUGAUGAUUUCAGGAGUUAUGGACUGACUAAAUAGAGUGAUCAAAUAAAUCAUCUUGCUUAUAUUGAUAAUACAAUAAUAUUUUUUUUGCUGACAGGUUUUCAUUGUAAUUAAUUAUGCAGAUCUUAAGAGAAUAUGAAAACCAAUCGUGUCAACAGGGAAAAGAGUGCCUUUUAUGUACAUAACAAGGUUACUCAUGCACAUGUUUAAUUGGUGGAGCAUUGUACUGGCUUUUCCAAGAGGUAAAUUUCCAUUGACAUAUCUGGUUGUGCUAUUGGACAUGCUAGGAAAAGAAAGAUUAAUUUUUUAGAGCUAUUAAAGAAGGUACAAAAUAAACUUCAGUUAUGGAAAGGCAAACUAUUAUCAUUUGGAGGUAAAGUUGUGUUGAUUAAUAAUGAUUUGCAGAGUAUCCUCAUUUAUCAAUUAUUCGAUCUUAUACCUCCAAAAUGUGUGAUUCAUGAUCUUUAUAGAUUUUUUGCUAAAUUUCUAUGGAACUUUAGAAAAAGAGGGAGGAGUAAACACUAGGUCUCUUGGACUAAUAUAUGUCUACCAAAAAAGGAAAGUGGUAUUGAUUUUAGAUCUUUUUUUUAUGUGUCUAAAUCCUUAUUUUCAAAGCUAUGGUGGUAUUUUAGAAUACAAAAAAAUAAUGUGGACUAAUUUUAUGAGAACAAGUACUGUAAAAGGCAUAGACCACAAGUAGUUGAAUGGAAAGGUGGUUCUCAAGUUUGGAAGUUUAUGUUACAGGCUCGAGAUUAUUUUGACCAAGAAAUAUGGUGGAAAUAUAAGUGUGGACAUGUUAGUAUUUGGUCAGAUAAUUGGACUCAAAAGGGAGCUUUACACUAUUAUCUCCCAUUAAACUAUAAUAAUAAUGGAUGAUUGGAAGAUGUGCAUCAAUUAAUGAAUCAUGAUGGGUGGAAUAGGGAUCUACUUAAGGAAAUUUUUUCUGAAGAUAGAUGCAAUCAUGUACUUAAUAAGAUUGGGACAAUAGGAUAUUUUAAUGCUUGGGAUAAUCCAUGGUGGAUGCCACAAGGUUCUAGAAAAUUUACAAUUAAAAGUGGUUGGACUAUCAUAAGACAGUCUGGGAAUGUCAAUGAGGAUUUAAGGUUUAUAUGGGAAAAGGGUAUACCUUUCAAAGUAUCUUUCUUCUUCUUGAGUUAUGAAAGAAAAUAUUACCUACAGGUGACUUUCUAGUCAGUACAUGAUGGGAAGAAAUGACUAAUUGUGUUUGUUGUGAGUUACCAGUUCAUGAAUCCUAUGAACAUCUCUUUGUUCAGUGUUCUGCAGCUAAUAAUUUGUGGAUAGUUUUUGCAUCAAUAUUGAAGUGUAGGGCCCUUUUCUUCAUUUAAAAUAUGUUAUCUACAAGUGGUGGAAUGCUAAUUAUUGUGCUAAACUUAGGCCCCUAUUUAUUGUUAUUCCUGUUUUCAUACUGUGGAAAAUAUGGAAAGAAGAAACAUCAUCAAACAUGAAGGUAGGAUGUCAAUUCAUGGCAUACAAUAGGAAAUAAAUUGGAAUCUGUAUUUGUUUGCUAAGAUAAGAUAUCCUUGGCUUAAUAAUAUCCCUAGUAACUGGCCUAUGAUGGUUAUGUUCUUGGAAGUUUAUAAACCUAAUAUCCAGGCUACUGUGGUCAAGUGGAAGCCUCCUAUCAAUGGUUUUUAUAAGUGCAAUAUUGAUGGUGCCUCUAAAGAUAACCCUUGUCCUAGUGGUGGUGCUUUCUGUAUUAGAGACAGUAAAGGGAAAUUUAUUUUUGCUAAGUCAUUCUCUUUUGAUAUCUUAACUAACUUAGAGAAAGAAUUUGUUUCCUUUAAGAAGGGUUUAGAGUAACGUGUGAGUCAAAAGUUGUUAACAGUUACUAUGAAAUAGAUUCUCUCAUUCUUAAGAAAAUCCUAGAUGGAAUCUGGGAGAUUUCCUGGAAGGUUUCUAUAUAUAUCAAAAGAAUUCAAUGGUUGAAGAGGCAAUGUCAGGUGGAGGUGUUGCAUACGCUAAGGGAAGGGAACAAACUGGUGAAUUUUUUAGCUAAUGAAGUUUUCUUUUUAGCAGGUACGCAAAAUAUAAUACACAUUGCUACAGGAUAUUGCAGAUGAAGGAAAAAUAAUUAUAAAAAUGGACAAGCAUUAAAUCCCAUCACUGAAGUUUGUCAAAUAACAUUUUUUUCUAUAUAAAAGGCAGUCAUAUUAAAUAACAUACCAGAUCUGAGAUAGCAAAUAACAAGAAAUGCAAAGGUCAAGGCACAUACAGAGGGGGAAUUGAUCCAAAUAGAGGUACAUAUAGCUAUAUUAACAUUGAUUGUCGAGCAAUAAAGUACAAGUACAUAUGUACAUUUUAGACUAGUGCAUGCGACAUGGGUAAAAUACUAAGCUUCAGAAAAGAGGGUUUUGUACCUUUUUCAUGCUUACUCAAAUCAUCUAAGUUAAUGUCCUUUGUCAGUGGUAUCAGCUUCUUGUUGAGCUCAACCUGUCAAGGGUAUGAUUUAGAUAAUCCAAUUUAAACAUUAGAUUAGGUAAUGGAGGAUUUUGGGAAAGAUUUACGUUUACCUGAGGAUCAAAUGUCUCAAUUUGUUCUAAGGGGAGUUGAUGAAGUCUUCCUAUAAUCCGAUUUCAUGGCAUUUGUGAGACAAUUAUAAAUGUCUAAAAUGAAAUUCAUAACUUCACUAAUGGACAGAUUUGAGCUAAAUACAUGGUGUUGGCUUAAGCUUUCCCUUUUAAUCCGUCAGUGAGGCAGUUUCAGCUUUAUAAUCCGUGUGGGGAAGAUGAAAAUGCAUAAGAAUUUUUCUAGAUACUUAUCAUACUUUUUUAUAUGACAUUCAUAGUUGCAACAACUACAGGGGCAUUAAGUUGUUGAGUCACACUAUGAAGAUUUGGGAGAAAGUGGUUGAGCGGAGGUUGAGGAGGAGUGUGUCUAUUUCGGAGAAUCAGUUUGGAUUUAUGCACUGCCGCUCGACGGAGGAGGAAAUUUACCUGGUGUGGAGACUAAUGGAGACGUAUAGGGAGUGAAAGACGGACCUCCACAUGGUUUUC